GAAGUGGACUUCUCUAACGAAACUCCCGCCACUUUUCUUCACUUCUAUCUUCCGCACCACGUUACUCUUCCCUUCUUCUUCCUUUCCUUCUUGAUUGUUGAAUGUUAACUCUUCGUUCAUGCCAUCCUCUGCUUUACAAAUCUUUAUCUCGCAAUCUCCUGAAACCGACCGCACUAUUUCAUCUCUCUUUCUCUAGUAAACCCUUCUCUCACAAACCAAAACCCCUCUCUAUCUCCUUAAACCCUCAGCCCAAGAUGUCUACUCCUCCCUCCGCUUUCGAUUUUCUCAUGUCCAAAUCUCGCACCGCCGCCGCCAAAAAGAACCCUCAAUCCACUUCUUCUCCUAAUAAGCGUAAAACCACAAAUGUCCAAAACCCUAAACCACCAAAUUCAUCAGCUGAUGAAAUUCAAGAAAACGCCGAAAAACCCAGUUUAGAUCUCAAGGAACCCAUCUCGAAUCAACAUGAACCGCAAGAUUCAGUUGACGCCAAACAGGCCCAACAACCGGUUGAUAAUUGCGAAAGACCCAAAAAGAAACCCAAAGUAUUGAGUGCUAAUGAGAGAGUUGCGGAAUUGAAGAGUAAAAUGGUGUUGUUGAAGGAGAAACCAGGUGAUUUUGAUCCUAAAAUGGUGGCGUGUUGGGAGAAAGGAGAGAGGGUGCCGUUUAUUUUCUUGAGUUUGGCAUUUGAGAUGAUUUCGAACGAAACGGGGCGGAUUUUGAUUACUAAUAUUGUGUGUAAUAUGUUGAGGACUGUCAUGGAUACGACACCUGAGGACUUGGUGGCAGUUGUGUAUUUGGCGGCCAAUAAGAUUGCACCAGCUCAUGAGGGACUGGAGCUAGGAAUUGGGGAUGCUUCUAUUAUAAAGGCGCUUGCGGAAGCAUAUGGGAGGACUGAUGCCCAGGUUAAGAAGCAGUAUAAGGAAAUGGGAGAUUUGGGCCUUGUUGCCAAAGCAAGUCGCUCAUCUCAAUCAAUGAUAUUCAAGCGGCCAGAUGCAUUAUCUAUUUGUAAAGUUUUUGAUGCUUUUCGGCUCAUUGCUAAGGAAGCUGGAAAAGAUAGUCAAGAGAAGAAAAAAAACAGAAUCAAGGCCCUCCUUGUUGCUGCCACUGAUUGUGAACCUCAAUAUUUGAUUCGUCUACUUCAGUCAAAGUUGCGAAUUGGACUAGCAGAGCAAACUCUCUUAGCUGCAUUGGGACAAGCAGCUGUUUAUAAUGAACAACAUUCUAAACCACCUCCACAUGUUCAAUCUCCUUUAGAGGAGGCUGUGAAGAUUGUUAAACAAGCGUUCUCUGUACUACCUGUUUAUGAUAAAAUAGUCUCUGCUCUUCUUAGUGGUGGCGUGUGGGAUCUACCGAAUACAUGCAGUUUUACGCUGGGUGUCCCGGUUGGACCUAUGUUAGCAAAACCAACCAAAGGGGUGUCUGAGAUCAUAAAUAAGUUCCAGGAUAUGGAAUUCACAUCUGAAUACAAGUAUGAUGGAGAACGUGCCCAGAUACAUUACAUGGAGAACGGUUCUGUUGAGAUAUACAGUCGAAAUUCUGAACGUAAUACUGGAAAGUUUCCUGAUGUUGCUCUUGCAAUUUCAAGAUUAAAGAAAUCCUCUGUAAAAUCAUUUGUUCUGGACUGUGAACUUGUUGCUUAUGACCGGGAGAAACAGAAGAUUUUGCCCUUUCAGAUCCUUAGUACUCGAGCUCGUAAAAAUGUGUCUGUGAGUGACAUCAAGGUUGAUGUCUGCAUAUAUGCUUUUGACAUGUUGUAUGUCAAUGGCCAACCACUUCUUCAGGAGCAACUGAAAGUUCGUAGAGAGAGACUUUAUGACUCAUUUCAGGAAGAACCUGGAUUUUUCCAGUUUGCAACAGCUUUAACAUCGAGUGAUCUUGAUGAAAUACAAAAGUUUCUUGAUGCUGCUGUAGAUGCAAGUUCUGAGGGUUUAAUCAUCAAAACACUGAAUCGAGAUGCCACAUACGAGCCUUCAAGGCGGUCUCAUAACUGGCUGAAACUGAAGAAAGAUUAUAUUGACAGUAUUGGAGACUCGCUCGAUUUAGUACCUAUUGCUGCAUUUCAUGGGCGUGGGAAACGUACAGGUGUUUAUGGUGCUUUUCUAUUAGCAUGUUAUGACAGCAACAACGAAGAAUUCCAAAGCAUUUGUAAAAUAGGCACUGGAUUUUCUGAAGCAGUGCUUGAAGAACGUUCCUCUAGUCUCCGCUCUAAAGUAAUUCCGAAACCAAAGCCAUACUACCGAUAUGCAGAUACCAUCAAUCCAGAUGUAUGGUUUGAGCCCACCGAGGUCUGGGAGGUGAAAGCUGCAGAUUUGACUAUUAGCCCUGUUCACCAUGCAGCAAUUGGUGUUUUGGAUCCUGAUAAGGGCAUUUCACUUCGAUUUCCUCGUCUAAUUCGUGUUCGGGAAGAUAAGAAUCCAGAGCAAGCCUCGUCAUCUGAGCAGGUUGCGGACAUGUAUAACGCUCAAAAACACAAUCAACCAAAUAAUCAAGAUGACAAUGAAGAUGAUUGAGGAGCUGGCUCAAAGUCCUCUUGGACAUAUCUUCUUGUAAAGUUAGCUCUGUCUUGAGAAAAAAAAUUCCAUGGAGAUAUUGCAAUGAUAGCUGUUUUUGAGCUUUAAAUGCAAGAAUGAUUACCUACUCACUAGGAGACUUGCUUGCGCAAUAUGAAUUGGAGUCGCCAUGCUCUUUGCUCUAAACUUAGUAUGAUUUGGAUAUUGUAGCCAUCAAAAAAUUUUCAGAAUCUGAAGAGGAAAAUGUGUCAGCUGCAAAAUCAGCAUAGUAUUUGAUUUGUUGGAAUUGAUUUUGUGGUUUUUAACUUGGGCAGCAACUGUAUUAACCGAGAAGAUAUGAAUUUUCCUCAUAGCACAGAUAAGAAAGCAUGGUUUGAACUGGAAAGCCAGUCAGAAUCAGGUCCAUCCAGCCUUGGGAUUGUAGUCUUCUGGUUUGGGUCGAGUUGGGUAUUCAGAUUCCAUUUGAAAGUAAUAGAGAUUUAACUGGGCAGGCCUAGAAAUGGAAUGGUUAUUUCAGCUCAUUAUUAAUAUUGGCUGGUUGAGGAUUUGGGAUGAAUAAUUGGUCAAGGUUAAGUAUUCGAUAAAGCUAGAACUAUGAGAGGGAAGUGAAUGUGACCAGAUGCUAUGAGGAGGAUGAGGAGGAGUAGUAGUAGUAGUAGUAGAAGUAGGUCAAGAAGUCUAAUAAAAUGUCUUUUUGGUCAAAAAUUAACAUAUUAAUUUCUAUGCCUCUGUGCCGUGUGGACCAGGGCCAUUCCUUACAGAUUUUCCCAGUUUUCAACCUAACUUUGCAACCGGCUCUUGAGGUCUAAAGUCUUCUUUUUUUCUAUUUGCCUUUUCAUAAGUUUACACU